rnacentral:rRNA from 1 species
UACGUAGGGGGCAAGCGUUGUUCGGAUUCAUUGGGCGUAAAGGGUGCGUAGGCGGCGCGGUAAGUCGGGUGUGAAAUCUCGGAGCUUAACUCCGAAACUGCAUUCGAUACUACCGUGCUUGAGGACUGGAGAGGAGACUGGAAUUUACGGUGUAGCGGUGAAAUGCGUAGAUAUCGUAAGGAAGACCAGUGGCGAAGGCGGGUCUCUGGACAGUUCCUGACGCUGAGGCACGAAGGUCAGGGGAGCAAACGGG